UGUGUCAUUCUCUGAGCUAGCCCCCUUUCUCUUGAGCACCAACAAACUCAAGAGGGCUCUUAGCUUGCUUUCCUAGAAUACUGUUUACCUGUGCCCCGCCAGCUGCUUCUCUGUUGUUUCUGAAGGCCCAAAGAGAAAAUCCCUAUCUCUUACCUGGAGGUCCUCCCAUAAAAGCUCUUCCAAGCCAAGAGACAGGGAGAGAGCGUGCAUGCUCUAGCAAAGGUCCAGAUGAAAAAGAACUCUAUAAAGCCUCCUAUACAACCUUGCCAGGCUGAACCAUAGUCAUGGUGGUGUGGCUCCAAGUCACUAGGUGCUGAACCAUUUCAUCUUCAUGGUGAGGUAGCUCCAGACCACCCAACUGACUUUGCCUGAGCUAGGGCCAUAAAACCUCUUCUAAGCAACUUGCCUUAAAAUAGGCAGGACCUUUCCAUUCUUUAGCAUUCUUAUCGAUGGAGGCUUUUAGAGGCACACCCAAACUGCAUCUCUUCAGGACACACCUAACUGCAUCUGACAAAUGCUAUAUCUACUUAGGCUUUUAUAUUUUGCUAACAAUUAAGUUUUCUAUGUACAAUAAUCAAACAUCCUGUAACACACAGUAUAUAAGCAUGCUUCCUACACAGAGGGAUCCCAAGUUCAAGGUUCAUAGUGAGACCCUGUCUAAAACAGAAGGAUUGGAGGGAUGAAAGAAAGUUUGCUGACUUCGAACAUCUCACCAGGAAACCAGACGGUAUAUAUGAAGAACAAUUCCAUUAAAAAUGAAGUUUGGGCCAUCCAUUAUGAGAGUCACAGGUAUACCAUAUUUAGAUUUUUAAAGAUUUUUUUUUAAACUCCAAGUUCUUUUUUAAGCUUUAAAAAAAGAUGAUUUAUUUAUUUUUAUGUGCUUUAUUGUUUACCUGCAUAUAUGUUUAUGGAAGGGUAUCAGAUCCCCUGGAACUGGAGUUAAGAAAGCUGUGAGCUGCCAUGGGGGUGCUGGGAAUUAAACGGGGGUCCUCUAGAGGAGUAGCUAAAGCUCUUAACCGCUGAGCUAUCUCUCUAGCCUCCUUUUUUUUUUUUUAAUGGUUUUUCUAAAGACAGGGUUUCUCUGUAUAGCCCUGGCUGUCCUGGAACUCACUCCGUAGACCAGGCUGGCCUCAAACUCAGAAAUCCACCUGCCACCACGCCCGGCUUUAAAGAUGUUUUUAAGUUGAGAGUCAGCUUUCUUAGGGAGUGAUUUGUGUGUUCAGUUUAAAAGCAGCAGUGUAGACUAAACAAACCCAUGCUUUGAUAUCCUAACUUAAACUCUCCUGCUCUCUUUGUUCUCAUGCAAGAGAAAUUUCUAAAUAAUAGAAAAAGGAAAGACUGGGUCUAUCUUAACAUCAGUGAGUACCCUUGACUUGUAUCCGAGCAUUCAGGAGGUUGAGACAGGAGGAUUAAGACUUCCUGCCCAGCCUGGGAUACAUUGUAAGGCCUUCUUUCAAAACAUACACAUGAGGGGUAGAGAGAGGACACAAGGAUUAAAAGGGCUUGCUGCAAGUUCAUGCUGAGUGAAGUGGGAUUCCAAGACCCACGUAACUGGUGGGCACCCGACACAUGUUCUAUAACACCAGCUCAGAGGAAUCCCAUGCUAUUAUCUGGCCUCUAGCAUCCUCCACACACACACACACACACACACACACACACACACACACACAGUCUUAAGAAAUAAAAAUGAAAAAUCAAUCCAACAGAAGCAAGAGUCUACUGAAAGGAAACCAGAAUGUAAGAGUAGAUUAUUAUUAGGAACUGACUCACACGCACAGUGUGACUGAGAAAGUAGAGAGGGCAUGCAUGGGUAGGCAGCUAGGAGGCAAUCAGCAGCAAGCUGCAACCCCAAAGGCAUCGGCACAGUUAGAGCACAGUCAGGUUGGGUGGAAAUUAACUGCAGAUCCUGCUGCUGCUGCUGCUGCUGCUGCUGCUGCUGCUGCUGCUGCUGCUGCUGCUGAUUUUUAAGGCAUAGUUUAUUUUAAUUUGUCUUUAUUAUAUGUAUAUCUGCUUGUGAGUAUGUUAUGUGCAUGCAGAGGCCAGAGACUUCGGUUCCCUCUCAAGCUGGAGUUAGCUCAACUAAACUGCCCGGCCUCUGAGUAGGUGCUGGGAGCAGCAGCUUGCCCUGGACCACUAAGCCAUCUCUCCAGCCUUGUUGGGUUUUCAUUAAGGAAGAAAUCCAGCCAGCUCAGGACUGAUAAACUCAGCUCUUUGCAGACUGGAAUGUUUAACCAAACAACCGACACAGAGAGAGAGGUGUGCUUUACUAAGUGGCAGCCACUAUCCUUCUAGUCUCUCACUUCCUCCUUAAAGGAAGCCUGUUUAACUGGUGGUGCAAAUCUGAAACCCUAGCUAUUGAAAGGCUGAGACAGGAGGACUGCUGGGAGUUUGAGGAGAGUCUGGACAACAUAAUGAGUUCUAGGCCAGGCAGAGUUGCAUAGCAAGACAAUGCCUGUUU
rnacentral:lncRNA from 1 species